rnacentral:rRNA from 1 species
AGAGUUUGAUCAUGGCUCAGAAUCAACGCUGGCGGCGCGCUUAACACAUGCAAGUCGCACGAGAAAGGGAGCAAUCCUAAGUAAAGUGGCGCACGGGUGAGUAACACGUGGAUCAUCUACCUUUUAGUGGGGAAUACCUCUGGGAAACCGGAGACAAUACCGCAUAAGCCCGCAAGGGGAAAGCAGCAAUGCGCUGAAAGAGGAGUCCGCGGCCGAUUAGCUAGUUGGCGGGGUAAUGGCCCACCAAGGCGAAGAUCGGUAGCCGGCCUGAGAGGGCACACGGCCACACUGGCACUGAAACACGGGCCAGACUCCUACGGGAGGCAGCAGUGGGGAAUCUUGCACAAUGGACGAAAGUCUGAUGCAGCGACGCCGCGUGAGCGAUGAAGCCCUUCGGGGUGUAAAGCUCUUUCGACGGGAACGAUAAUGACGGUACCCGGAGAAGAAGCUGCGGCUAACUACGUGCCAGCAGCCGCGGUAAUACGUAGGCAGCGAGCGUUGUUCGGAAUUACUGGGCGUAAAGAGUGUGUAGGCGGUGUUCCCAGUCUGUUGUGAAAUCUCCCGGCUUAACUGGGAGGGUGCAGCGGAAACUAGAAUGCUAGAGGGUGGGAGAGGUAAGCGGAAUUCCUGGUGUAGCGGUGAAAUGCGUAGAUAUCAGGAGGAACACCUGGUGUAGACAGCUUACUGGACCACUUCUGACGCUGAGACACGAAAGCGUGGGUAGCAAACAGGAUUAGAUACCCCCGUAGUCC